UACGUAGGGUGCGAGCGUUAAUCGGAAUUACUGGGCGUAAAGCGUGCGCAGGCGGUUCGUGAUGUCUGAUGUGAAAGCCCCGGGCUCAACCUGGGAAUUGCAUUGGAAACUAGCGGGCUGGAGUGUGGCAGAGGGGGGUGGAAUUCCACGUGUAGCGGUGAAAUGCGUAGAGAUGUGGAGGAACACCGAUGGCGAAGGCAGCCCCCUGGGCUAACACUGACGCUCAUGCACGAAAGCGUGGGGAGCAAACAGG
rnacentral:rRNA from 1 species